GACAGAGGGUGCAAACGUUGUUCGGAAUUACUGGGCGUAAAGCGCGUGUAGGCGGCCCUGCAAGUCGGAUGUGAAAUCCCACGGCUCAACCAUGGAAGUGCAUUCGAAACUGCAGAGCUAGAGUCCUGGAGAGGAAGGUGGAAUGCUUGGUGUAGAGGUGAAAUUCGUAGAUAUCAAGCGGAACACCGGUGGCGAAGGCGGCCUUCUGGACAGUGACUGACGCUGAGGAGCGAAAGCGUGGGGAGCGAACAGG
rnacentral:rRNA from 1 species